rnacentral:rRNA from 1 species
UCCGUAGGUGGAUAAUUAAGUCAGAGGUGAAAUCCUGCAGCUCAACUGUAGAAUUGCCUUUGAUACUGGUUAUCUUGAGUUAUUAUGAAGUAGUUAGAAUAUGUAGUGUAGCGGUGAAAUGCAUAGAUAUUACAUAGAAUACCAAUUACGAAGGCAGAUUACUAAUAAUAUACUGACACUGAUGGACGAAAGCGUGGGGAGCGAACAGGAUUAGAUACCCUGGUAGUCC